UAUGGUAAUUGCCAGCCGCCGCGGUACUACGUAGGUGGCAAGCGUUGUCCGGAAUUAUUGGGCGUAAAGGGCGCGCAGGCGGCGUCGUAAGUCGGUCUUAAAAGUGCGGGGCUUAACCCCGUGAGGGGACCGAAACUGCGAUGCUAGAGUAUCGGAGAGGAAAGUGGAAUUCCUAGUGUAGCGGUGAAAUGCGUAGAUAUUAGGAGGAACACCAGUGGCGAAAGCGGCUUUCUGGACGACAACUGACGCUGAGGCGCGAAAGCCAGGGGAGCAAACGGG
rnacentral:rRNA from 1 species